ACUGCGUCAAGUCAUAGUCAGUUUCUCCGUGUUUUCUUUGUACCCACACUUGCACGUUUUUGAUCAACGUGUGUGUCCAUCUACCUUUUGUUGUUUCGUCCCAUGGUUUCUGCCACUCAUUAAGGAUGGUUUGACUUUCUUGCUGUUUCUCUUGUUUAUUUAGUCGUCUGCCCGCGUUUUCGCUUUGCCAUAGAUUCUUUUUAGCUCCAUCGCCAUAAUAUCUGGAGGAAUGAUACCUGAAAUAAUUCCAGCCGCUUCGUGUGACACAGUCCGCAAUGCUCAAGCUACCCUGAUUGCGCUUAACCGAACUACUGCUUUUGCCGUAUUUGCAUAUGCUGGUCCCCAUAUGGGUCCGUGGUCGCCUCUAGCUUCUUCCUACUAGUUAUUUCCACCGCUUCAGUUUUUUGGCCUACUAACUGGAGCUUUGCAUUUCUGAGCCAUUCCUUUAUUUUUAUCGCCGCGUGGUUGCAUUGAUACUCUAUCUGGCUUAUUUCUUUUGACAGUACCGUUACUAGUACUGAGCCUUGUGGUACACCGCCUGUUACAAUGUAGUUUUUAGGACCUUCUUCUGUUCAUAUAGCAGUAAUCUGUCGGAGAGGUAGCUGGAUAUGAUCCUCAGCAAGUAGAGUGGUGUCUUCUUUUGUUUCAUAGCUUCUAUGAUAUGCGGCCAAUAGGCCGAGUUGAAGGCAUUUUUUACGUCAAACGCCCCUAUCGCGCAGCAUUCUUUGGAGCCACCUGGUUCCUUCAAUUGCCGUGCUUGCGACCUCUGUUAACUUUUUAACGGCGUCUAUUAUUGAUCUGUGCCUUCGAAAACCAUAUUGGUUUUCGGCUAAGCCCGGUGGCUCUCUUUCUAGAUGUUGCUCUAGCCUCACACAUAUUAUACGCUCUAGUAUUUUCCCCAUUGUGUCCGACAUACAUAAUGGUCGGUAGGAUCCUGGCCCCCCUGCUGGUUUAUUUGGCUUUUGUAUAAGCACUAGCCGCUGUUUUUCAUUGGGAUGCCAUCUAGGCCUGAUGCUUUAGUAUUUGCGAAUCUCUAUGCUGCUUCUAUAGUUUUUUGUUCAGUGACUACCGGUACGUUUGUAGCACCAGAUUAUUUUAUUUGCUGCCUUUGUAGCAAUUGCGUCGGAAAAAGAGUUUGGACAACCGCAUUUAAUAAUCUAGGACAUGUAGGUGCUUGUCCUUUUUGGUCUUUAAUCUUUGCAAUGACGAUUUUGUAUGCAUCUCCCCACGGCUUUCCUUCGACCUUGUUGCAGAGCUCUUUAAAACAACAGACCUUGAUCUUCUUUAUUGCUUUCUUGAGUUCAUGCCGCUUCAAUGUGAAAUCUGCCGUUUGCCGUCCCCUUUGACACUGGCGCCUCGCUUUGUAGCAUUCACUUCUUAGAGCUUCAAUAGUCUCAUUCCACCAGUAUGCGGGUUUCCUGUAUGUGCUUCGUUUUUUUCUACACAUGGCGGCAUCGCAGGCUUUACUGACAUGUUUAAUAAGGCAUUCAACCAUCUGUUCUAUGUCUAUAGCGUAGUUCGGAUCGUCAUCUAAUAUUAAUUUGUAUAUAUCCUCAUCAAAGGUUUCAGCUUUCCAGAAUUCCCAAGUGGUCACUGUGUGUAUACAAGUCGAUCACUUGCCAUGUACACGACCGCACUAGGAGCUACUAUCAAACGCGAUAUCGAUUACAGAACCGCGGCCGUUUUUUCGAAAGUAUUUCUGUUACCGGUAUUCAGCAAGACGCUGUUCAGUACCGAAAAAGCCUUCAGAAGAGUUUCUCCUCGUGUAUUUGUUUACGUGCUGCCCUAUUCCACUGCCCACCUGCCACUACGUUCAUUGUGGUGUUCGACACUUCUCGUACCAGGUUAUCAAUGAUUCUUUCAUAUUCACCUUGUGCGAUGCUUGGCGAGAUGUAACAGCUAUGAAAGUUUAUUUCGCAGAUUUUUGCCCGCGUGUAAUAGGCUUGUCUUGUUAGUAGCUUUUCUUGGAACACGUUUUCUUCACAGACACAAAUGGCCGCUUUGCCCGUAAGAUCGGAGGUCCACGUUGCUGCGCUAAUGUUUUUGUAUUGUUCGCAGACUAUUGCCACGUCGAUUUUCUGCUCACACACUGUAUGCAUACGAAGGUCUUGAGCUGCUACGCAGUGGUUGAGGUUGAGCUGUAGAACUCUCAUAUUUUGGCUCUUUUGCACGCUUUUUGGUAGAAAAGACAUUUCUUUGGCAACUAACCUGCUACUACAGGCCGACCGGCUACCCGCGACCUGCCGACCCCCCGGUAGCUUAGAGGUUAGCUAAAAAGUUUGAUCACGUUAAGAUCAAACCAACGGGAAAUAUGUACAUAUUUAAUCCUUUGACAAAGAUGACGAAGACAAUGACAACGACGAUGAUAGUGAUGUUAUGCGCAGUUUUGACGACGCUGGCGCAAGAAGCAUCACAUUUGAAUGUCAACAACGGCAAGAACAAAGGAGAAAUGCUGAAAGCGAACGUGUUGCAAGAAAUAUCGGGCAGAAACGACGAUAAACCUACAGUGUGCAAAAGAGGAUCGGACCACAAUGGCACAUAACCACCAUACAAACAUAAUGCUGGAAAAAACACUUUUCAUGAGCAACAGCUGACCUAAGAUACAUUUUCCCUUCAACUUCCAUUAUUGUAAUUUUAUGUAAAAAAAGUAAAGAAGGGCUAACUUCGGGUGCAACCGAACAUUUUAUACUGUUGCAACUUGCAAGAAUUAAAGCAAAGGAAAUAAUUUAAGCUGCGAAACGCCAACCAGAGGAUCAGAAUUCAAGCAAUUAUUGUGGUAGUAUCGAUCC